rnacentral:rRNA from 1 species
GACGAACCGUGCGAACGUUGUUCGGAAUCACUGGGCUUAAAGGGCGCGUAGGCGGGUCGAAAAGUCCGUGGUGAAAUCCCCCCGCUCAACGGGGGAACGGCCGCGGAUACUGUCGGCCUCGAGGGGGGUAGGGGCGAGCGGAACGCUGGGUGGAGCGGUGAAAUGCGUAGAGAUCAUGAGGAAGACCAGUGGCGAAGGCGGGUCUCUGGACAGUUCCUGACACUGAGGCGCGACAGCGUGGGGAGCAAACAGG